CCUACGGGUGGCAGCAGUGGGGAAUAUUGCACAAUGGAGGAAACCCUGAUGCAGCAACGCCGCGUGAGUGAUGACGGCCUUCGGGGUGUAAAGCUCUGUCUUCAGGGACGAUAAUGACGGUACCUGAGGAGGGAGCCACGGCUAACUACGAUCCAGCAGCCGCGGUAAUACGUAGGUGGCGGGCGUUGUCCGGAUUUACUGGGCGUAAAGGGAGCGUAGGCGGAUUUUUAAGUGAGAUGUGAAAUACUCGGGCUCAACUUGAGUGCUGCAUUUCAAACUGGAAGUCUAGAGUGCAGUAGAGGAGAAUGGAAUGCAUAGUGUAGCGGUGAAAUGCGUAGAGAUUAGGAAGAACACCAGUGGCGAAGGCGAUUCUCUGGACUGUAUCUGACGCUGAGGCUCGAAAGCGUGGGGAGCAAACAGGAUUAGAUACCCGUGUAGUC
rnacentral:rRNA from 1 species